GGGUCAGUAGGUUGGUCGUGCCACCGGUACGUACUGGUCUUACUGAUUCCUCCUUCCUGAAGAACCGUAAUGCCAUUAAUUUGGUGUUGCGGGGAAACAGGACUGUUACUUUGAAAAAAUUAGAGUGUUUAAAGCAAGCUAACGCUUGAAUACAUUAGCAUGGAAUAAUGAAAUAGGACGAUCGAUCCUAUUUUGUUGGUUUCCAGGAUUGACGUA
rnacentral:rRNA from 1 species